UUGACCUCAAAUCGGGUGAGACUACCCGCUGGACUUAAGCAUAUCAAUAAGCGGAGGAAAAGAAACUAACAAGGAUU
rnacentral:rRNA from 1 species